UGACUCACCCAACGUCAAACAACAGACGAGCGGCAGAGACUAUUGAAUCCCAAUGCCACCUUUAAAGGCACAACAUACUCGAGUUGAAUGAAACUUCGAAGAUGGUUGAAAGGAAGGUUGUGUCUAUACUGGAACUAGUGUGAACACACCUCGAUGAGGUAACUGAGGUGCAACCAAGUGAAGCGAC